UACGUAGGGGGCGAGCGUUGUCCGGAUUUAUUGGGCGUAAAGAGCUCGUAGGCGGUUUGGUAAGUCGGAUGUGAAAUCUCCAGGCUCAACCUGGAGGGGUCAUUCGAGACUGCUAUGACUAGAGUUCGGUAGAGGAGUGUGGAAUUCCUGGUGGAGCGGUGAAAUGCGCAGAUAUCAGGAGGAACACCGGUGGCGAAGGCGGUUCUCUGGGCAUUACCUGACGCUGAGGAGCGAAAGUGUGGGGAGCGAACAGG
rnacentral:rRNA from 1 species